CCUUUCUCCUCAUCACAUUUCCGCCAUCCCCACCGAAUGAAUUGGAUCUACACACAUUUUUGGGCAUUUUCCUGGUUAAGGAUUUAUGCUCUAAAGAAAUUCAUGUCUUUUCUGCGCGGGAUGACUUGCAUCAUUGGGGAAAGAAGGUUUUUUCCCACGGGACUGGUUUCUUGCCCACACACUGACAAGUACCGCUUCCAUUGGAAAGUUGGUUGGCUUGCCGAUCAGCUGCAUGACACACAGCAGCAAAAAAUCUUCACAACCAUCGGACAUUGCACACACACAAACCAUCAGCGACUCUUGCACUCUCUUUGUGUCGUCUUCAUCUUUAGUGAUUUGGAUGCCAGCACAGUGUUUAGUCGUUUUUUAUCUUGCUCUAUGUAAUUUUGCAUGAAAUUUUCUAAUUUUUAUUGUGAUGUGUCCCUUUCUGAGGUGGGAAAUUUAUUUCCUACAGUUUUUUGACAAAAAAACAGCCCCAUGCUGAUAGCCUGAAGAAGCCAAUAAACAUUUGGCGAAACGCGUCGCUGGAUAGCAUAAAUGCUGUUUUUUCUUUCCUUUUUCUGACUGCGUACACCGAUUGAAAAAAUUCAACAAAUUACAACAGUCGUGAAAUAUUCUACAUCAACACCUUUUUCGGUUAUUUUCUCCUCAAUCAUCCUUUCUCCUCAUCACAUUUCCGCCAUCCCCACCGAAUGAAUUGGAUCUACACACAUUUUUGGGCAUUUUCCUGGUUAAGGAUUUAUGCUCUAAAGAAAUUCAUGUCUUUUCUGCGCGGGAUGACUUGCAUCAUUGGGGAAAGAAGGUUUUUUCCCACGGGACUGGUUUCUUGCCCACACACUGACAAGUACCGCUUCCAUUGGAAAGUUGGUUGGCUUGCCGAUCAGCUGCAUGACACACAGCAGCAAAAAAUCUUCACAACCAUCGGACAUUGCACACACACAAACCAUCAGCGACUCUUGCACUCUCUUUGUGUCGUCUUCAUCUUUAGUGAUUUGGAUGCCAGCACAGUGUUUAGUCGUUUUUUAUCUUGCUCUAUGUAAUUUUGCAUGAAAUUUUCUAAUUUUUAUUGUGAUGUGUCCCUUUCUGAGGUGGGAAAUUUAUUUCCUACAGUUUUUUGACAAAAAAACAGCCCCAUGCUGAUGUAAGUUGCUUUAAAAAGAAAAAUUUUAAAGAUUUUUUUCCCGCGAACAGAAAUUUUGUAACGCCCAAAUCAUUUCUUUUCCAUGUAAUAGAGCCUGAAGAAGCCAAUAAACAUUUGGCGAAACGCGUCGCUGGAUAGCAUAAA